AAUUAAUAUAUAACCUUAUAACAAUCGACUCACAGUUGGUUCGGAGAAGGGGAAUCUGACUAUUUAAUUAAAACAAAGAAUUGCGAUGGUCCUUAUGGAUGCUAACGCAAUGUGAUUUUUGCCCAGUUCUCUGAAUGUUAAAGUGAAGAAAUUCAACUAAGAAUGGGUAAACGACAAGAGUAAAUGUAACUCUCUUAAGGUAGCCAAAUGCCUCAUCAUCUAAUUAGUGAUGCAUAUGAAUGGAUUAACUAGAUUACCACUAUCCCUAUCUAUUGUAUAGCGAAACCACGACCAAGGGAAUGCGAUUGACAUAAUCAAGAGGGAAAGAAGACCUUGUUGAGCUUGACUCUAGUACGACUUUGUGAAAUUACUUUAGAGGUGUAUAAUAAGUGGGAUUAUUUUUCGGCACAAAUGAAAUACAACUACUUUUAACGUUAUUUUACUUAUUAUGUAGGGAAGAGAGGGGAAUUUACCCUAUUUUUGGCCUUAAGACACAUUUCAAUGGGUCAAUCUGGGCGAAAGACAUUGUCAGGUGGGGAUUUUGGAUGGGGAGACACAUCUGUUAAAAGAUAACAUAAAAUGUAAUUGGUGUAGAUAGAAAAUUUGUGUUUGGGAGAUCCUAGUGCACAAGCACCCUUAUUACAUUUCCCUCCUAAUUUGUAGU
rfam:Picea glauca, whole genome shotgun sequence.